AAGCACUUAUGACCAGACUUGGACCCGGUGAAUCAUCCAGCGUUCUCGCUGGUGCACUUUGCCGGGCUCAGGCCAGCAUCAGUUUGCCCCGGGGGAUAAAGGCUUUGGGAAUGUGGCUCCCUCGGGAGUGUUAUAGCCCAUUGCACAAUACCCUGGGGCGGACUGAGGUUCGCGCAUCUGCAAGGAUGCUGGCGUAAUGGUCAUCAG
rnacentral:rRNA from 1 species